rnacentral:rRNA from 1 species
UACGGAGGAUGCGAGCGUUAUCCGGAUUUAUUGGGUUUAAAGGGUGCGUAGGCGGUCCGUUAAGUCAGCGGUAAAAUUGCGGGGCUCAACCCCGCCGAGCCGUCGGAACCGGGGGCCUUGAGUACCGGAGAAGUACGCGGAAUGCGUGGUGUAGCGGUGAAAUGCAUAGAUAUCACGCAGAACCCCGAUUGCGAAGGCAGCGUACCGGCCGGUCACUGACGGAGGCACGAAAGCGCGGGUAUCGAACAGG